ACACUACUGAAGAGUCCUACAAUAGGACGAAACGUACUUCCAGUGC
rfam:Schistosoma mattheei strain Denwood, Zambia genome assembly, scaffold: SMTD_scaffold0007079